rnacentral:rRNA from 1 species
AUUGAACGCUGGCGGCAGGCCUAACACAUGCAAGUCGAGCGGGGUUUUCGGACCUAGCGGCGGACGGGUGAGUAAUGCGUAGGAAGCUGCCCGAUAGAGGGGGAUACCAGUUGGAAACGACUGUUAAUACCGCAUAAUGUCUACGGACCAAAGUGUGGGACCUUCGGGCCACAUGCUAUCGGAUGCGCCUACGUGGGAUUAGCUAGUUGGUGAGGUAAUGGCUCACCAAGGCGACGAUCUCUAGCUGGUUUGAGAGGAUGAUCAGCCUCACUGGAACUGAGACACGGUCCAGACUCCUACGGGAGGCGGCAGUGGGGAAUAUUGGACAAUGGGCGCAAGCCUGAUCCAGCCAUGCCGCGUGUGUGAAGAAGGCCUUCGGGUUGUAAAGCACUUUCAGCGAGGAGGAAGGGGUGUGUGUUAAUAGUACACACCUUUGACGUUACUCGCAGAAGAAGCACCGGCUAACUCUGUGCCAGCAGCCGCGGUAACAC